UACGUAGGGGGCAAGCGUUGUCCGGAUUUAUUGGGCGUAAAGAGCGUGUAGGCGGUCUGGUAGGUCCGUUGUGAAAACUCGAGGCUCAACCUCGAGACGCCGAUGGAAACCAUCAGACUAGAGUCCGGAAGAGGAGAGUGGAAUUCCUGGUGUAGCGGUGGAAUGCGCAGAUAUCAGGAGGAACACCAAUAGCGAAGGCAGCUCGCUGGGACGUUACUGACACUGAGGCGCGAAAGCGUGGGGAGCGAACAGG
rnacentral:rRNA from 1 species